GACGAACGCUGGCGGCGUGCUUAACACAUGCAAGUCGAACGGAAAGGCCCUGCUUUUGUGGGGUGCUCGAGUGGCGAACGGGUGAGUAACACGUGAGUAACCUGCCCUUGACUUUGGGAUAACUUCAGGAAACUGGGGCUAAUACCGGAUAGGGGCUCCUGCUGCAUGGUGGGGGUUGGAAAGUUUCGGCGGUUGGGGAUGGACUCGCGGCUUAUCAGCUUGUUGGUGGGGUAGUGGCUUACCAAGGCUUUGACGGGUAGCCGGCCUGAGAGGGUGACCGGCCACAUUGGGACUGAGAUACGGCCCAGACUCCUACGGGAGGCAGCAGUGGGGAAUAUUGCACAAUGGGCGGAAGCCUGAUGCAGCAACGCCGCGUGCGGGAUGACGGCCUUCGGGUUGUAAACCGCUUUCGCCUGUGACGAAGCGUGAGUGACGGUAAUGGGUAAAGAAGCACCGGCUAACUACGUGCCAGCAGCCGCGGUGAUACGUAGGGUGCGAGCGUUGUCCGGAUUUAUUGGGCGUAAAGGGCUCGUAGGUGGUUGAUCGCGUCGGAAGUGUAAUCUUGGGGCUUAACCCUGAGCGUGCUUUCGAUACGGGUUGACUUGAGGAAGGUAGGGGAGAAUGGAAUCCCUGGUGGAGCGGUGGAAUGCGCAGAUAUCAGGAGGAACACCAGUGGCGAAGGCGGUUCUCUGGGCCUUUCCUGACGCUGAGGAGCGAAAGCGUGGGGAGCGAACAGGCCUAGAUACCCUGGUAGUCCACGCUGUAAACGGUGGGUACUAGGUGUGGGGUCCAUUCCACGGGUUCCGUGCCGUAGCUAACGCUUUAAGUACCCCGCCUGGGGAGUACGGCCGCAAGGCUAAAACUCAAAGGAAUUGACGGGGCCCCGCACAAGCGGCGGAGCAUGCGGAUUAAUUCGAUGCAACGCGUAGAACCUUACCUGGGUUUGACAUGGAUCGGGAGUGCUCAGAGAUGGGUGUGCCUCUUUUGGGGUCGGUUCACAGGUGGUGCAUGCCUGUCGUCAGCUCGUGUCGUGAGAUGUUGGGUUAAGUCCCGCAACGAGCGCAACCCUUGUUCACUGUUGCCAGCACGUUAUGGUGGGGACUCAGUGGAGACCGCCGGGGUCAACUCGGAGGAAGGUGGGGAUGACGUCAAGUCCUCAUGCCCCUUAUGUCCAGGGCUUCACGCAUGCUACAAUGGCUGGUACAGAGAGUGGCGAGCCUGUGAGGGUGAGCGAAUCUCGGAAAGCCGGUCUCAGUUCGGAUUGGGGUCUGCAACUCGACCUCAUGAAGUCGGAGUCGCUAGUAAUCGCAGAUCAGCAACGCUGCGGUGAAUACGUUCCCGGGGCU
rnacentral:rRNA from 1 species